UUGUGUGUGUGUGUGUGUGUGUAGUGGAUGCAGUGUGAGUGUGUGUGUGUGUAGUAGAUGCACUGCAUUCACUACACACACACUCGCACUGUAUCCACUACACACACUCGCACUG